UGGGGUUUCAAUAGGCAUUUACC
rnacentral:miRNA from 1 species